UCAGCUAUCAUUAGUGUUGGUGUGUUUUGUGUGUGGCCCAAGACAAUUCUUCCAAUGUGGCCCAAGGAAGCCAAGAGAUUGAACACACCUGAUGUAGAGUGAACAGACACAAGCCUAGAGGGUAGCGCCUGCGGCACACCUCGGCUCUGCGGUGCAGCCUCUGACGUCUAGGCUACAAACCUGCACAGUGUGUGACUGUCCUGAACACUGUAGGCAACUCCAACACAAUGGACCAAAGGCCGCUGUGGGCGAUGAUUAUCCCCGAUCACAGCCCUCGACCGGAGCGCACUUCCCCGCAUCUGGAGCCAUCUGCAUCUGUCUCCUUUGCAGUCUGCCGGUAAUUGGGUCUGAAAUCACACGCGUCCUACUCAGCUACAUUUGCGUUUCCUUCUUGCGCUGUUUUUAUAUCCAGAGCUGUUGAAACCACUCCUAGGAUGAAUUUCUAAACUUAGACCAUCUCAUCCUCAAAUGGCAAGAAAGAAAGUGUGAUGUGUCCGUGAAUCUGCUGAAUGGGCCGAGGGGUGUUUUUAAAAGAUGAUAGUUUGGGGAAGAAGCGGGCACUGCAGAAACCUGUGGACUGGGGCGCUAAAACCUACGAGCUUCCCAGGAAGCCGCCUUUUGGGAGCCCGAACUAUCCCAGAACCUUUUCCUAGCAGCAGAUCACAAUUACGGUCUGUUCUGUGAGUCCGCUCCCACCCAGCGAUGAACGGACACUUCUGCUCUCCAGCAGCAAGAGUAGGAAACCCCGCCCUCCCUGCAACAUAAAGGCCACGCAUUUGAGAUCCUCUCAGUGGACUUUUUCAAAAAAUAACAUCUUUCAUUUAUGCUUGAGCAGGGAGAAGAGUCAUUAAAAAGAAGAGAUUUUAAAAAUCCCUGUCCAAUGCUUUUGGCCAGCCAGCCGCUCAGGACAAAGGCUGCCUGGUUUUGGGACCUCAUUAUCCGGAGGCCAAGGCGCGGCUGCGGGUGAUGGGGAUGCCGACUCCGCAGCGAGCACAGUCCGCCUCAUUGUUGGUGAAUUUCCUGCUCUUGGCACUUUCUUUGGCAGCCUCAUGGCCAGCACCUGUGCACUCAGACCUGGGGCCCGGGACGUCCACACAGAUGUCACGGCGCUUUUGUUGAUUUCCUAUUAGUGGCACUUAAUAGGCAGGCGCUGGGGACAGCUUGGCUCGGCUCCGGGGAGGGGACGCAAACAUCGCUCCCUUGGUGGGCGAAGGGUCAAACCGUUUCUAAAGCUCAGCCAGAUAAUUGCUGGUGAUUAGCAAUUUUAAUUAGCAGGUGCGAGGGGUCGGGACCCCCCUCCCUGUAAUUGGGCAGGUUGUUAACAUCCAUGGAGUUGUGACCAGGGAGGACAUUUUACUAAUACUCUCUAGGUCUUUUAAAGUUAAUUAAAUUAAAGCAGCUAAAACCACCAGAGACGGCCUGAGAUCUGAUGAGCCAGAUAGAAAAAGUUUUCAGUAAAACUUCUCUCACUGGAAAAAAAAAAAAAAA